UCCAAUGGAAAACUUCCGAGUCACCAGCACAGCUUUCCUUGCCCAGCUAAUGAGUGAUCCCAUGCUCAGGGAGAAGAAGUUGCUUAAGAUUGUCUUACGCAUCUUGGAAGAAAGGUCACAGGAUAGAAACAGCAUUGUCCGUCAGAUGGUUGUAAGAGGCCUGGGAAAUAUAGUCGAUGGGGCGCCUGUGAAGGU